rnacentral:rRNA from 1 species
GGGGGAUAACGUAGCGAAAGUUACGCUAAUACCGCAUAUGCCCUGAGGGGGAAAGGGGGGGAUCGCAAGACCUCUCGCUUUCGGAGUGGCCGAUACCGGAUUAGCUAGAUGGUGAGGUAAAAGCUCACCAUGGCGACGAUCCGUAGCUGGUCUGAGAGGACGACCAGCCACACUGGAACUGAGACACGGUCCAGACUCCUACGGGAGGCAGCAGUGGGGAAUUUUGGACAAUGGGCGAAAGCCUGAUCCAGCCAUACCGCGUGAGUGAAGAAGGCCUUCGGGUUGUAAAGCUCUUUCAGCCGGAAAGAAAUUGCUUCUAUUAAUACUAGGAGUAGAUGACGGUACCGGAAGAAGAAGCACCGGCUAACUACGUGCCAGCAGCCGCGGUAAUACGUAGGGUGCGAGCGUUAAUCGGAAUUACUGGGCGUAAAGCGUGCGCAGGCGGUUUUUUAAGCCAGAUGUGAAAUCCCCGGGCUUAACCUGGGAACUGCAUUUGGAACUGGAAGACUAGAGUAUAGCAGAGGGGGGUAGAAUUCCACGUGUAGCAGUGAAAUGCGUAGAUAUGUGGAGGAAUACCGAUGGCGAAGGCAGCCCCCUGGGUUAAUACUGACGCUCAUGCACGAAAGCGUGGGGAGCAAACAGGAUUAGAUACCCUGGUAGUCCACGCCCUAAACGAUGUCAACUAGGUGUUGGGGGAGGAGACUUCCUUAGUACCGUAGCUAACGCGUGAAGUUGACCGCC